rnacentral:lncRNA from 1 species
GUAAAUGUAUGAGGAGAGGACAAGCAGUGGAGAAUAUAAUGGCAACAUUUCCAACAUUUGCCUUAUGCUGAUGCCAAUUUGCUAAUUGUGACUCAAGAUCAAAAACUCUGCAUAUCACUGACACAUAUAAAAAAUAAAAACAAUUUAAGAGAUAAAUAUAUUUUUGAUUGAUUGAUUGUUUGAGAAGAUACAACAUUUGUGGGAGGUUUUAAUUGUAUUUGUUAAGAGACGACCAACAAGGAAACAAUAUUAUUCAGUUUAAAGCUACGAAAGCCUUUUUUACAAUAUGAAAAUAACCUUAUGUUGAGGAUUAAACCAGUUAUACAACAGAUCCAUUUAAAUAACGACAGAUUCAUUAAUAAACAAUCCCAUAUCCAAGUCACAUUUCAAAUCCUAACAGUUUUGCUCAUACCAAUAUGUUUCAAUGCUGUAGAAUUUCAUUUUUUAAAUUGUACCUUUAUUUAUACAGGUUUUCUCUCAUUGAGAUAACAUCUCUUUUCCAAGAGAGACCUGGUCCAAUAGUAGCAGAGGGAACAACGUUUCAGACAAAACAACUUACAUACACUAACACAACUAUAAACACACAUACAGUACAACAAAAAACAUUUUACAUUAAAAAAACGCAAACGUCAUGACUAGACUAGAACACUGUCACACUAGAAUAUUCUUUCAGUUAAUUCACAUCGUUACUUACUAAAAAAAAAGGAAACAGAAACGCCCAGAAACAUCAUAAGAGCUGAAAAUACAGUACUUAAAAAAAAAAAAUUGUACACGCACAUAUUCAGCUGUGCAUUCCUUCUUCCGCUUUCAGCCAAUCACAGAUUUGACAACGAUAGAGAUGGACGGCAUGUUUUCAUUGUAACAGGUCAUAAGACUAUGUGUUCCUAAAUUAUCCAUUUUAGAAUCUUGACUUGUGCUGGUGUAACCGAUGUGAAAUGGCUAGCUAGUUAGCGGUGGUGCGCGCUAAUAGCGUUUCAAUCGGGUGACGUCACUCUCUCUGAGACCUUGAAGUAGUUGUUUCCCCUUUGCUCUGCAAGGGCCGCGGCUUUUGUGGAGCGAUGGGUAACGAUGCUUCGUGGGGUGGCUGUUAUCGAUGUGUGCAGAAGGUCUCUGGUUCAAGCCCAGGUUGGGGCGAGGAGAGGGACGGGAAGCUAUAACUCAUAAGAGGGUCAUGAGCAUGCAAUGAAAAAGUUUUUUCAAUGGAAAGCGAAAAUUAGUGUAGUUCAGGUAGUCCAUCCCUGUUUAAUCUGGAGGCGAAAGAAACACACACCUGUUUAGGAGAGGUGCUGGCUAGCGGAGUAGAACACCUGUUUAGGAGAGGUGCUGGCAGAGUAGAACACCUGUUUAGGAGAGGUGCUGGCUAGCAGAGUAGAACACCUGUUUAGGAGAGGUGCUGGCUGGCAGAGUAGAACACCUGUUUGGGAGAGGUGCUGGCAGAGUAGAACACCUGUUUAGGAGAGGUGCUGGCUAGCAGAGUAGAACACCUGUUUAGGAGAGGUGCUGGCUGGCAGAGUAGAACACCUGUUUGGGAGAGGUGCUGGCAGAGUAGAACACCUGUUUAGGAGAGGUGCUGGCUAGCAGAGUAGAACACCUGUUUAGGAGAGGUGCUGGCUGGCAGAGUAGAACACCUGUUUGGGAGAGGUGCUGGCAGAGUAGAACACCUGUUUAGGAGAGGUGCUGGCUAGCAGAGUAGAACACCUGUUUAGGAGAGGUGCUGGCUGGCAGAGUAGAACACCUGUUUGGGAGAGGUGCUGGCAGAGUAGAACACCUGUUUAGGAGAGGUGCUGGCUAGCAGAGUAGAACACCUGUUUAGGAGAG